rnacentral:rRNA from 1 species
UACGUAGGUGGUAAGCGUUGUCCGGAAUUAUUGGGCGUAAAGCGCGCGCAGGUGGUUUUCUUAAGUCUGAUGUGAAAGCCCACGGCUCAACCGUGGAGGGUCAUUGGAAACUGGGGAACUUGAGUGCAGAAGAGGAAAGUGGAAUUCCAAGUGUAGCGGUGAAAUGCGUAGAGAUUUGGAGGAACACCAGUGGCGAAGGCGACUUUCUGGUCUGUAACUGACACUGAGGCGCGAAAGCGUGGGAGCGAACAGG